rnacentral:rRNA from 1 species
AAAGGCGCUUUCGGGUGUCGCUGAUGGAUGGACCCGCGGUGCAUUAGCUAGUUGGUGAGGUAACGGCUCACCAAGGCCACGAUGCAUAGCCGACCUGAGAGGGUGAUCGGCCACAUUGGGACUGAGACACGGCCCAAACUCCUACGGGAGGCAGCAGUAGGGAAUCUUCGGCAAUGGACGAAAGUCUGACCGAGCAACGCCGCGUGAGUGAAGAAGGUUUUCGGAUCGUAAAACUCUGUUGUUAGAGAAGAACAAGGAUGAGAGUAACUGUUCAUCCCUUGACGGUAUCUAACCAGAAAGCCACGGCUAACUACGUGCCAGCAGCCGCGGUAAUACGUAGGUGGCAAGCGUUGUCCGGAUUUAUUGGGCGUAAAGCGAGCGCAGGCGGUUUCUUAAGUCUGAUGUGAAAGCCCCCGGCUCAACCGGGGAGGGUCAUUGGAAACUGGGAGACUUGAGUGCAGAAGAGGAGAGUGGAAUUCCAUGUGUAGCGGUGAAAUGCGUAGAUAUAUGGAGGAACACCAGUGGCGAAGGCGGCUCUCUGGUCUGUAACUGACGCUGAGGCUCGAAAGCGUGGGGAGCAAACAGGAUUAGAUACCCUGGUAGUCCACGCCGUAAACGAUGAGUGCUAAGUGUUGGAGGGUUUCCGCCCUUCAGUGCUGCAGCUAACGCAUUAAGCACUCCGCCUGGGGAGUACGACCGCAAGGUUGAAACUCAAAGGAAUUGACGGGGGCCCGCACAAGCGGUGGAGCAUGUGGUUUAAUUCGAAGCAACGCGAAGAACCUUACCAGGUCUUGACAUCCUUUGACCACUCUAGAGAUAGAGCUUCCCCUUCGGGGGCAAAGUGACAGGUGGUGCAUGGUUGUCGUCAGCUCGUGUCGUGAGAUGUUGGGUUAAGUCCCGCAACGAGCGCAACCCUUAUUGUUAGUUGCCAU